AGAGUAAAAUGCCUCUUGACAUUUCAGAUCCAUGAGCCCCUUAACAUUGGUAGAAAGGUAUAAAAGUCAGCGCUGAAUGAGUAUUCAGCAGGUUCAUCAGUGUGUCGAUUCCCAAAACUGCAUGAAUCAAGCAAAACUCAGGAUUAACUCAGUCAAUCCAUGGAGGCUUAAUAGAAUGAGGCAUUUGAAAUAUUUCAAGAAUGGGCAUGAGCAGAUCAGUGAGGAUGACUCAGAAUGGUGUAACUGCA